CACCUGAGUCCCCUGUGGCGUUUUGCAGGAAUAUGAGCCCCUGCAGCUGCUUCUCCAGAGCACCUGAGUCCCCCGUGGCGUUUUGCAGGAACAUGAGCCCCUGAAUGAACCCCUGAAUGAGCCCCCACAGCUGCUUCUCUUCGGGACUGCAGACGAAAGUGUGGAGCUGCUGGCCUGGCUCCCUCAACACUCACGGUCCUUCCCCACCCAGGCGCGGGGAGGUUCGUCAGAGAAUAAGGCUGGACAAGGAGAGGGAACAGGAGGGGAACCUGGCCAGCGUGCUCAGCAGGCAGCGGCUCUUCCCUGGUGCGGGGAGGUGACAUUGCCAUGAGUUGCUGUCAGGCUGUCCCCUGGCCAUCGCCUGGGAAGGCUGCAGACAGGGCA
rnacentral:lncRNA from 10 species